AGUGGUCAGAUUCUUUUUCAGAAUUUGUAUUGUUUCCAGGAGAUAAUUCUUCCAAGGAGAUUGAUGAAUGUCUCCUCAAGCUUAUUGUUGCCAUGGGACCAUCAAGGUCUAGUAUCCUUGGAGAGGUCACUGUUAAUAUGGCAAGUUAUGUGAGUUCAAAUGCUGAAUCUCCACUUUCACUCAAGCUGGGUAAGUGGCAACCAUGGGACAGUUUUACAUGUCAGAUAUACAAAUAAAGUUAUCUUACUUUUAUUGAGUGCAGAAUGGUUGUGUUACUGUGGUUGGUUACGCUGGGAUUUAAUUGUAGUCAACUUUGGGGGAAAAGUAACAUUGGAAAUCUGGAAUAUAUUGCUGAGUAUUGAAUGUAUCUUAUUAAUUCCAA